rnacentral:rRNA from 1 species
UCGGGAAUAUUGCGCAAUGGAGGAAACUCUGACGCAGUGACGCCGCGUAUAGGAAGAAGGUUUUCGGACUGUAAACUAUUGUCGUUAGGGAAGAAAAAAUGACAGUACCUAAGGAGGAAGCUCCGGCUAACUACGUGCCAGCAGCCGCGGUAAUACGUAGGGAGCAAGCGUUAUCCGGAUUUAUUGGGUGUAAAGGGUGCGUAGACGGGCGAUCAAGUUAGUUGUGAAAUCCCUCGGCUCAACUGAGGAACUGCAACUAAACUGGUUGUCUUGAGUGCAGGAGAGGUAAGUGGAAUUCCUAGUGUAGCGGUGAAAUGCGUAGAUAUUAGGAGGAACACCAGUGGCGAAGGCGACUUACUGGACUGUAACUGACGUUGAGGCACGAAAGUGUGGGGAGCAAACAGGAUUAGAUACCC